rnacentral:tRNA from 1 species
AGCCUUGAGGUGUAAACACGCUUGAUUGCAAAUCUUUGAGUAGCAGGCUAACGCCUGCCGGGGCUU